rnacentral:lncRNA from 1 species
CAUGCAAUCCUUGUCCUUGUAUAUUCUUCUGCUCCUUCUCAUCCUUUCUUCCCGCGGAGACGUACGUGGGACGGUCAUGAGCUCCAGAUAAGUUCCUCAAUCCUAUCCACAUUUUUCUAACAAGCUAUAUAUAUCCACUCCUUUAUUAUUCCUUUAUCUCUCCAACGCCAUUUAUUAGUAAUAGUAUAUCCCAAUUGGUUGGAUUUUUGUGUCGAGGAUCCAUUUACGCCUCUCAACGAAAAAUCACAUACUCCCGGAGGUUUCCGUUCCCAUCUCCGGUGUAGAGCUCUGUGGGCGGUAGUCGCUUGCUUCAUUUGGGCAGGUUCCCGUCGACUUCGGAGCUAACGUAAGGAUUCAUCUCCAGCUCCUCUUUUUCUGCUAGUAUAGUGCUCUGGGAGAUUAGCUUUCAGUUCAUCAGUUCUUGCUCAGGCGCCGCAGCGCAUGAUUCUCACUCUAUUUACCCCCGCAUUAUGUUCAUCCGUUCGCAUGCUCAUGAAUUUUCUUUGCUCACGGCGAUUGCCCAGGCAUCAUUUCUGAUGGAAUUUUAUAUAGCCUACAAAGAAAUAGAGAAAUUAGUGCGAUUGACAAUCUUCACGCAUGAGUUAGCCCGUCGUCAAGUAAUCGUAUUCGAGCUACCAUUGUAUUCCUGCACUUGUUCAUCUAUCUAUAUAUAUGCAUGUGUUCGCGCCUAAUGUACUAUCCAACUCAUGUGCCCCCCCCCCCCCCCCCCCCCCCCCCCCCCC